GACGAACGCUGGCGGCGUGCCUAAUACAUGCAAGUUGAGCGCUGAAGGUUGGUACUUGUACCAACUGGAUGAGCAGCGAACGGGUGAGUAACGCGUGGGGAAUCUGCCUUUGAGCGGGGGACAACAUUUGGAAACGAAUGCUAAUACCGCAUAAAAACUUUAAACACAAGUUUUAAGUUUGAAAGAUGCAAUUGCAUCACUCAAAGAUGAUCCCGCGUUGUAUUAGCUAGUUGGUGAGGUAAAGGCUCACCAAGGCGAUGAUACAUAGCCGACCUGAGAGGGUGAUCGGCCACAUUGGGACUGAGACACGGCCCAAACUCCUACGGGAGGCAGCAGUAGGGAAUCUUCGGCAAUGGACGAAAGUCUGACCGAGCAACGCCGCGUGAGUGAAGAAGGUCUUCGGAUCGUAAAGCUCUGUUGGUAGAGAAGAACGUUGGUGAGAGUGGAAAGCUCAUCAAGUGACGGUAACUACCCAGAAAGGGACGGCUAACUACGUG
rnacentral:rRNA from 1 species